rnacentral:tRNA from 1 species
GGUCUUGUAGUCAACCAUGAUUUUAAAUUGCAAAUUUAAAGGUGAAUAUAAUUCUAAGGCUU